rnacentral:rRNA from 1 species
UACCAGCACCCCGAGUGGUCGGGACGUUUAUUGGGCCUAAAGCAUCCGUAGCCGGUUCUGCAAGUCUUCCGUUAAAUCCACCUGCUUAACAGAUGGGCCGCGGAAGAUACUAUAGAGCUAGGAGGCGGGAGAGGCAAGCGGUACUCGAUGGGUAGGGGUAAAAUCCGUUGAUCCAUUGAAGACCACCAGUGGCGAAGGCGGCUUGCCAGAACGCGCUCGACGGUGAGAGAUGAAAGCUGGGGGAGCAAACCGG